UGUGGCUCAGUGGUACAGCUCUUUGCCUUUCAUGCAGAAGGCCCUGGGUUAGAUCCCCAGCA
rnacentral:tRNA from 1 species